UACGGAGGGUGCGAGCGUUGUCCGGAAUCACUGGGCGUAAAGGGCGCGUAGGUGGCCCGUUAAGUGGCUGGUGAAAUCCCGCGGCUCAACUGCGGGGCUGCCGGUCAUACUGGCGAGCUAGAGCACGGUAGGGGCAGAUGGAAUUCCCGGUGUAGCGGUGGAAUGCGUAGAUAUCUGGAGGAAUACCGGUGGCGAAGGCGGCAUCCUGGACCGGCAUUGACGCUGAUGAGCGAAAAGCUAGGGGGAGCAAACGGGG
rnacentral:rRNA from 1 species